GACGUAGGGUCCGAGCGUUGUCCGGAAUUACUGGGCGUAAAGCGCGCGCAGGCGGAUUGUCGCAUCAUCGGUGAAAGCCCCCCGCUCAACGGGGGAGGGUCCGGUGUGAUGGGCAGUCUGGAGGCAGGGAGAGGCGAGUGGAAUUCCGGGUGUAGUGGUGAAAUGCGUAGAGAUCCGGAGGAACACCAGUGGCGAAGGCGGCAUCCUGGACCGGCAUUGACGCUGAGGAGCGAAAGCCAGGGGAGCAAACGGG
rnacentral:rRNA from 1 species